UACAGCGAAACUGCGAAUGGCUCAUUAUAUAAGUUAUCGUUUAUUUGAUAGUACCUUACUACUUGGAUAACCGUGGUAAUUCUAGAGCUAAUACAUGCUAAAAAUCCCGACUUCGGAAGGGAUGUAUUUAUUAGAUUAAAAACCAAUGCCCUCUGGGCUCCUUGGUGAUUCAUAAUAACUUUUCGAAUCGCAUGGCCUUGCGCCGGCGAUGGUUCAUUCAAAUUUCUUCCCUAUCAACUUUCGAUGUUUGGGUAUUGGCCAAACAUGGUCGCAACGGGUAACGGAGGGUUAGGGCUCGACCCCGGAGAAGGAGCCUGAGAAACGGCUACUACAUCCAAGGAAGGCAGCAGGCGCGCAAAUUACCCAAUCCCGAUUCGGGGAGGUAGUGACAAUAAAUACUGAUACAGGGCUCUUUUGGGUCUUGUAAUUGGAAUGAGUACAAUUUAAAUCCCUUAACGAGGAACAAUUGGAGGGCAAGUCUGGUGCCAGCAGCCGCGGUAAUUCCAGCUCCAAUAGCGUAUAUUAAAGUUGUUGUGGUUAAAAAGCUCGUAGUUGAACCUUGGGCCUGGCUGGCCGGUCCGCCUCACCGCGUGUACUGGUCCGGCCGGGCCUUUCCCUCUGUGGAACCUCAUGCCCUUCACUGGGUGUGGCGGGGAAACAGGACUUUUACUUUGAAAAAAUUAGAGUGCUCCAGGCAGGCCUAUGCUCGAAUACAUUAGCAUGGAAUAAUGAAAUAGGACGUGUGGUUCUAUUUUGUUGGUUUCUAGGACCGCCGUAAUGAUUAAUAGGGACAGUCGGGGGCAUCAGUAUUCAAUUGUCAGAGGUGAAAUUCUUGGAUUUAUUGAAGACUAACUACUGCGAAAGCAUUUGCCAAGGAUGUUUUCAUUAAUCAGGAACGAAAGUUAGGGGAUCGAAGACGAUCAGAUACCGUCGUAGUCUUAACCAUAAACUAUGCCGACUAGGGAUCGGACGAUGUUAUUUUUUGACGCGUUCGGCACCUUACGAGAAAUCAAAGUGCUUGGGC
rnacentral:rRNA from 1 species